GAUGAACGCUGGCGGCGUGCCUAAUACAUGCCAGUCGAGCGAACGGACGAGAAGCUUGCUUCUCUGAUGUUAGCGGCGGACGGGUGAGUAACACGUGGAUAACCUACCUAUAAGACUGGGAUAACUUCGGGAAACCGGAGCUAAUACCGGAUAAUAUUUUGAACCGCAUGGUUCAAAAGUGAAGGACGGUCUUGCUGUCACUUAUAGAUGGAUCCGCGCUGCAUUAGCUAGUUGGUAAGGUAACGGCUUACCAAGGCAACGAUGCAUAGCCGACCUGAGAGGGUGAUCGGCCACACUGGAACUGAGACACGGUCCAGACUCCCACGGGAGGCAGCAGUAGGGAAUCUUCCGCAAUGGGCGAAAGCCUGACGGAGCAACGCCGCGUGAGUGAUGAAGGUCUUCGGAUCGUAAAACUCUGUUAUUAGGGAAGAACAUAUGUGUAAGUAACUGUGCACAUCUUGACGGUACCUAAUCAGAAAGCCACGGCUAACUACGUG
rnacentral:rRNA from 1 species